rnacentral:sRNA from 1 species
UAAACGGAUUCGAUGACGAUCGGCUGGU